rnacentral:rRNA from 1 species
UACAGAGGGGGCAAGCGUUGUUCGGAAUUACUGGGCGUAAAGGGCGCGUAGGCGGCCUGUUAAGUCGAACGUGAAAUCCCCGGGCUCAACCCGGGAACUGCGUCCGAUACUGGCAGGCUUGAAUUCGGGAGAGGGAUGCGGAAUUCCAGGUGUAGCGGUGAAAUGCGUAGAUAUCUGGAGGAACACCGGUGGCGAAGGCGGCAUCCUGGACCGAGAUUGACGCUGAUGCGCGAAAGUCAGGGGAGCAAACGGG